rnacentral:rRNA from 1 species
GGUCAAGCUACAAAGGGCUCACGGAGGAUACCUAGGCACACAGAGGCGAUGAAGGACGUGGUUACCUGCGAUAAGUCUCGGGGAGUUGGAAGCACACUUUGAUCCGGGAAUUUCCGAAUGGGGCAACCCCUUGAACGACCAACUGAAUAUAU